rnacentral:rRNA from 1 species
GAUGAACGCUGGCGGCGUGCCUAAUACAUGCCAGUCGAGCGAACAGAUAAGGAGCUUGCUCCUUUGACGUUAGCGGCGGACGGGUGAGUAACACGUGGAUAACCUACCUAUAAGACUGGGAUAACUUCGGGAAACCGGAGCUAAUACCGGAUAACAUAUUGAACCGCAAGGUUCAAUAGUGAAAGGCGGCUUUGCUGUCACUUAUAGAUGGAUCCGCGCCGUAUUAGCUAGUUGGUAAGGUAACGGCUUACCAAGGCAACGAUACGUAGCCGACCUGAGAGGGUGAUCGGCCACACUGGAACUGAGACACGGUCCAGACUCCUACGGGAGGCAGCAGUAGGGAAUCUUCCGCAAUGGGCGAAAGCCUGACGGAGCAACGCCGCGUGAGUGAUGAAGGUCUUCGGAUCGUAAAACUCUGUUAUCAGGGAAGAACAAAUGUGUAAGUAACUGUGCACAUCUUGACGGUACCUGAUCAGAAAGCCACGGCUAACUACGUG